AUCCUCCUGAUACACACUGUCGCAUCCGAAAUCUUUUGCAGCUUCGCUCAAAUGUGGGAACCAGACACAAAAAAACGUUGCCAAACCAAUGAACAUCAACAAGAGCCUAAUAACCCAACUGGACCUUCCCUCCAAUGCUUCGAGCUAAUCCUCCCAUGGCUGACCCCAAUAGAAUUAGCCAACAUUUCUCUAACCUCCAAAUCCCUAAACCAACUCUCCAAAUCCACCACUCUCUGCCGAUCCUCCGACGCUUCCAGAUCCUUCGAAAACCUCCCCAUCCCGUUCCACAACACCAUAGAUCACCACCCAUAUGCCCAUUUCAUCUACACCCCAUCACAGAUUUUCCCUUCUUCUUCUUCACAACUCCAACGCCAAUCAUGGGGUUCGCUGGGUUUUGGCAGCUCGGUGAGUCGACUCUGCGUGGAACCGGUGAGUUUGGUGGACGAGUUGGGGCACAGCGUGUCUGGGUGUGAUUGCGAGAGGUGUGACGAUGAGGACCCAGAUGGGUGUCCUUGUUUUUCUGAGAUGGAUGAGUGGGAUACGGGGAACGAGUGCGGACCGAGUUGUGGGUGCGGGUUGGAGUGUGAGAAUCGGUUGACUCAGCGAGGUGUUUCGGUGAGGUUGAAGAUUGUGAGGGAUAGAAGGAAAGGUUGGGGUUUAUACGCUGAUCAGUUCAUUGAGAAAGCCCAAUUUGUUUGCGAGUAUGCAGGUGAACUUUUGACAACCAAAGAGGCAACAAAUCGGCAACAAAUGUAUGAUAAACUUGCAUCAGAUGGGCAUUUUUCUUCUGCUCUAUUGGUUUUGAGGGAGCAUCUUCCAUCUGGAAAGGCAUGUAUGAGAAUCAACAUUGAUGCUACAAGGAUGGGAAAUGUGGCACGGUUCAUUAACCAUUCAUGUGAUGGUGGAAAUUUAGUGACAAAACUGGUAAGGAGCUCGGGAGCUUUGGUGCCCCGCAUUUGCUUCUUUGCUUCAAGAGACAUAAAAGAAAAUGAAGAGCUUGCCUUUAGUUAUGGUGAAGUGAGGUUAAGGGCUAAUGGUCUGCAGUGCUUCUGUGGUAGCUCUUUUUGCUUUGGAACAUUGCCUUCAGAAAAUACUUAGUUUUAGUUUUUCCUUGUACCGACCCAAUGACCUUGAAUUCUGUCUUCACUCUUCAAGUGAUGAGAUGGAGGGGAAGGGAAUAUAGAAAAAGGCUUGGAGGAGGAGAAGGGGAUGUUGAGGGGAAGGCAGGUUGAAACUGUCCCAGAGCCCCCUCUUUUUUCUGGGGUGAGAAAGAAAAUGAUUGAAGAAAAAAGGAGCAAGAAAAUGUAUGUUUUAUGGCCUUUUAAUUUUAAGGCCAUGUUAAUUAUUUUUGGGGUGAGAAAGAAAAUGAUUGAAGAAAAAAGGAGCAAGAAAAUUUAUGUUUCGUGGCCUUUAAUUUUAAGGUCAUGUUAAUUCCUUAUGUUGUUCAAAACAUGUAUAACAAAUGGCCACUGACAUCAAAUUUGUUGUAUUGAAAAUGUGUGUAACUGUGUAAGUUGUAUUCAAAAUGUGUGUAACUCUGUAAGUUGUAUUCAAAAUGAGUUAAAUUUGGCAUUGGCUUGGAAAA